GGUAAAUUCCAAGUUUUGAAGGAUUUGUAUGUAAUGUUUGAGGGAACUGAUUUAAUGUUAAAUACUGAGUCAGUUCCUCAAACAUUUCUUACAAAUCCUUCAAAA